rnacentral:piRNA from 1 species
UCUAAAUUCUAAAACUCUUUC